rnacentral:rRNA from 1 species
UGGGGAAUAUUGGACAAUGGGCGCAAGCCUGAUCCAGCCAUGCCGCGUGAGUGACGAAGGUCUUCGGAUUGUAAAGCUCUUUUGGCGGGGACGAUAAUGACGGUACCCGCAGAAUAAGCCCCGGCUAACUUCGUGCCAGCAGCCGCGGUAAUACGAAGGGAGCUAGCGUUGUUCGGAAUCACUGGGCGUAAAGCGCACGUAGGCGGAUAGUUAAGUCAGGGGUGAAAUCCUGGGGCUCAACCCCAGAACUGCCUUUGAUACUGGCUGUCUCGAGGUCGAGAGAGGUUGGUGGAAUUCCUAGUGUAGAGGUGAAAUUCGUAGAUAUUAGGAAGAACACCAGUGGCGAAGGCGGCUCACUGGCCCGAUACUGACGCUGAGGUGCGAAAGCGUGGGGAGCAAACAGGAUUAGAUACCCAGGUAGUCCCUGAGCGGGCUGGCAAGGCGCAU